CCUACGGGUGGCUGCAGUGGGGAAUAUUGGACAAUGGGCGAAAGCCUGAUCCAGCCAUGCCGCGUGUGUGAAGAAGGCCUUCGGGUUGUAAAGCACUUUCAGUGGGGAAGAAAGCCUUGGGGCUAAUACCCUCGAGGAAGGACAUCACCCACAGAAGAAGCACCGGCUAACUCCGUGCCAGCAGCCGCGGUAAUACGGAGGGUGCGAGCGUUAAUCGGAAUUACUGGGCGUAAAGCGCGCGUAGGCGGUCUGAUAAGCCGGUUGUGAAAGCCCCGGGCUCAACCUGGGAACGGCAUCCGGAACUGUCAGGCUAGAGUGCAGGAGAGGAAGGUAGAAUUCCCGGUGUAGCGGUGAAAUGCGUAGAGAUCGGGAGGAAUACCAGUGGCGAAGGCGGCCUUCUGGACUGACACUGACGCGGAGGUGCGAAAGCGUGGGUAGCAAACAGGAUUAGAUACCCUAGUAGUC
rnacentral:rRNA from 1 species